rnacentral:rRNA from 1 species
AUGCGGUAUGACGGUACCCUUUCGAAUAAGAGGUUGCUAACUCUGUGCCAGCAGCAGCGGUAAUACAGAGACCUCGAGCGUUAUCCGGAUUUACUGGGCGUAAAGCGUCUGUAGGGGGUUUGUUAAGUUCCAAGUAAAAUCUUAAGGCUCAACUUUAAGUUCGCUUGGAAAACUAAUAAACUGGAGUCCAGCAGAGGUGCAUGGAACUUGCGGUGUAGGAGUGAAAUCCGUUGAUAUCGCAAGGAACACCAAAGGCGAAGGCAUUGCACUGGGCUGGUACUGACCCUGAGAGACGAAAGCGUGGGGAGCAAAACGGAUUAGAUACCCGUGUAGUCCACGCCGUAAACGAUGGAUACUAGAUGUUCGGGGAUUCGACCCCCUGGGUGUCACAGCUAACGCGUUAAGUAUCCCGCCUGGGAAGUACGGCCGCAAGGCUAAAACUCAAAGGAAUAGACGGGGAUCCGCACAAGCGGUGGAGCGUCUGGUUUAAUUUGAUAGUAAGCAAUGGACCUCACCAAGGUUUGACAUCCUAUGACAACCCUGGAAACAGGGCUUCCUUCGGGCAUAGUGACAGGUGCUGCAUGGUCGUCGUCAGUUCGUGCCGUGAGGUGUUCCGUUAAGUCGGGAAACGAGCGAAACCCUCGUCGCAUGUUACAAAUUUCAUGCGAGACUGCCCGGGUCAACCGGGAGGAAGGCGGGGAUGACGUCAGAUCAGCAUGGCCCUUAUACCUUGGGCUACACAGGCGCUACAAUGGCCGGUACAAAGGGUUGCAAAACCGCGAGGUGAAGCUAAUCCCAUAAAGCCGGUCCAAGUUCGGAUUGGAGGCUGCAACUCGCCUCCAUGAAGUUGGAAUCGCUAGUAAUCGUGGAUCAGCCAUACCACGGUGAAUACGUUCCCGGAUCUUGUACUCACCGCCCGUCACACCAAGAGAGUUGGUAGCUCCUGAAGC